GUGCAAUAAGAGGAAGAAAUACUGCAACAAAAUGUUGUUCCAAAUAGGAUUCAAGGAAGCUAGAAGUGCACCCAGCUCAUCAACUCCUGCAAUCAUGGUGGAAGCAGGUAUGAAAUGAAGAAGAUGCUGGAAGAUGGAAUCAUGGUAGAUAUAAUGACAGUUUUUCAAAAAUGGGAAAGAUACUGAAAACUGAAAAUGAAUAUCUAUUGGAAUAGAUUUUAAUUUCCUUGUACAAUAAUGGAGCAGAUACCGGGAUAAAAGAAAUCUGUAGUCAUGUGGAGGACAAUAGAAUCACCAGCAACAAGCAGUUCAGGUCAGUAAAAAAAGAAUCAUGCCAAAAAAUCUGAUAGCCUCUCACUGAUGGGAUUAUGAAAUUAGUGGAUUAAAGGAAAAAUAAAUUUAGUAUAUUUGAAUUUUUGGUAAUACCU
rnacentral:lncRNA from 1 species